GACGAACGCUGGCGGCGUGCCUAAUACAUGCAAGUAGAACGCUGAAGGAGGAGCUUGCUUCUCUGGAUGAGUUGCGAACGGGUGAGUAACGCGUAGGUAACCUGCCUGGUAGCGGGGGAUAACUAUUGGAAACGAUAGCUAAUACCGCAUAAGAGUAGAUGUUGCAUGACAUUUGCUUAAAAGGUGCAAUUGCAUCACUACCAGAUGGACCUGCGUUGUAUUAGCUAGUUGGUGGGGUAACGGCUCACCAAGGCGACGAUACAUAGCCGACCUGAGAGGGGGAUCGGCCACACUGGGACUGAGACACGGCCCAGACUCCUACGGGAGGCAGCAGUAGGGAAUCUUCGGCAAUGGACGGAAGUCUGACCGAGCAACGCCGCGGGAGUGAAGAAGGUUGUCGGAUCGUAAAGCUCUGUUGUAAGAGAAGAACGAGUGUGAGAGUGGAAAGUUCACACUGUGACGGUAGCUUACCAGAAAGGGACGGCUAACUACGUG
rnacentral:rRNA from 1 species